rnacentral:rRNA from 1 species
GAUGAACGCUGGCGGCGUGCCUAAUACAUGCAAGUCGAGCGAACAGACGAGGAGCUUGCUCCUCUGACGUUAGCGGCGGACGGGCGAGUAACACGUGGAUAACCUACCUAUAAGACUGGGAUAACUUCGGGAAACCGGAGCUAAUACCGGAUAAUAUAUUGAACCGCAUGGUUCAAUAGUGAAAGACGGUUUUGCUGUCACUUAUAGAUGGAUCCGCGUCGGAUUAGCUAGUUGGUAAGGUAACGGCUUACCAAGGCAACGAUGCGUAGCCGACCUGAGAGGAUGAUCGGCCACACUGGAACUGAGACACGGUCCAGACUCCUACGGGAGGCAGCAGUAGGGAAUCUUCCGCAAUGGGCGAAAGCCUGACGGAGCAACGCCGCGUGAGUGAUGAAGGUCUUCGGAUCGUAAAACUCUGUUAUUAGGGAAGAACAAAUGUGUAAGUAACUAUGCACGUCUUGACGGUACCUAAUCAGAAAGCCCCGGCUAACUACGUG